rfam:Coccomyxa subellipsoidea C-169, whole genome shotgun sequence.
GGUUGCGUGGUGUAGUGGUUAUCACGUCUGCCUUACACGCAGCAGGUCAUGGGUUCGAUCCCCAUCGCGACCA